GGGCCCAUUGUCCAAUGGUUAAGAUACUUCCCUUGCACGGAAGGGAUCCGCGUUCGAUUCGCGGUGGGUCCA
rnacentral:tRNA from 1 species